rnacentral:rRNA from 1 species
UGGGGAAUUUUGGACAAUGGGCGAAAGCCUGAUCCAGCAAUGCCGCGUGUGUGAAGAAGGCCUUCGGGUUGUAAAGCACUUUUGUCCGGAAAGAAAUCCUUGGCUCUAAUACAGUCGGGGGAUGACGGUACCGGAAGAAUAAGCACCGGCUAACUACGUGCCAGCAGCCGCGGUAAUACGUAGGGUGCAAGCGUUAAUCGGAAUUACUGGGCGUAAAGCGUGCGCAGGCGGUUUGCUAAGACCGAUGUGAAAUCCCCGGGCUCAACCUGGGAACUGCAUUGGUGACUGGCAGGCUAGAGUAUGGCAGAGGGGGGUAGAAUUCCACGUGUAGCAGUGAAAUGCGUAGAGAUGUGGAGGAAUACCGAUGGCGAAGGCAGCCCCCUGGGCCAAUACUGACGCUCAUGCACGAAAGCGUGGGGGAGCAAAACAGGAUUAGAUACCCCUGGUAGUCCCACGCCCUAAAACGAUGUCAACUAGUUGUUGGGGAUUCAUUUCCUUAGUAACGUAGCUAACGCGUGAAGUUGACCGCCUGGGGAGUACGGUCGCAAGAUUAAAACUUAAAGGAAUUGACGGGGUCAUAGCUGUUU